UACAGAGGUCUCGAGCGUUAGGCGGAAUCACUGGGCUUAAAGCGUGUGUAGGUGGAUCGUUAAGUCCCUUGUGAAAUCCCACGGCUUAACCGUGGAACUGCUUGGUAUACUGGCGGUCUUGAGCCACUUAGGGGCUACCGGAACAAAUGGUGGAGCGGUGAAAUGCGCAGAUAUCAGGAGGAACACCAAUGGCGAAGGCAGCUCGCUGGGACGGUACUGACGCUGAGACGCGAAAGCGUGGGGAGCAAACAGG
rnacentral:rRNA from 1 species